CUAUUCUGCAGUCCCCCUCUCAUUUACCUCACUUGCUGUGCCUGGCCUAUUCUUCUCUGAUUUCCUUCUGGGCUUUCUAAAUCUUAGCUCUAAUUUGCAGUCUAAUUUCCCCAGCCUUGGCAGUUCAUUUCCCCGCGACUGCACCUGGCUCCCUACAUCACGGAAUACUGACGCAGAUCAGCAUUCAGAUAUGAGACUCGGGGUUCAGAUUUCAGGCGUUCGGUCCCCAUGAUGCAAGACACCAGAACAGCUGACGUGAUGCUACUCUCUCAAGUCACGGUUAAUUUACAUCUCCCUCUUGGAUGAGGCUAAACUGAAUCUGUUGCUUCUCAUGAAGAUUCUGCCUGCAGCUGCGCUCCCCGGAUUAUAAAAACACUCUCAGGUGGAACACAGAAACUUCUGCUCCAGCCAUUCCAAUACUUUAUCCAGUUGAAAUAAUUGUCUAGGAAAAUUCCAGAUGUUCAGAUGUUUCGCUUUCCCAUCUGGAGUUCUCAUCCUGUAGGAUAGCUUGUCAUUGAUCUGCCCUGCUACACUGGCGAUGACCAGCAGGGGUCUGCUCAAGGACCAGCAAGGGGAUCCACCGAUUCCCAGGAGAAAUCAAGAAAGAUGAGGAGAAGGGCAAUUUCUAACCCUAGUCUACUCUCAUGUCCUCUUCACCCAGAGAACCAGUCAAGGAGGAGGGGCAAUAAAGACAAAAUAAACAUAUAGGGCAGGACCUGGAGAGACGGCUGAGCAGUCAAGAGAUCUUGUCGCUCUUGCACAGGAAGGACCUGGCUUCAGUUCCACAAGGUACACCACAAUCUCUAACACCAGUUCCAGGGGAUCCAGUGACAUUUUCUGCCCUUCAAACAGGACACGUGGUGCACAUGCACAUACAUAGGUAAAAAACCUCACAUGUGAUAUAAAAAGAAUACCUUCAGUAAGAUUUGAAAAUAUAUAGGGCGAUUUAAGCAAUGCUUUAAACAUUUGCAUAAAUUAAGGGGGCCUGCUCUCUCUAAGCGGGCUUUGUGGGUUUUGUGGUGUAAUGUGUAAAGGAUGAAUGUCUCCUUUAAAACACUGUCUUGAAGUCCUUAUGCCCCAGUGUUCUAAGAAAUGUCAGAGAUGACAACACUUUUCUCUAACGAUCUUCUGUAGCAAUGCAUUGACUUCCAUCACUUUUUACCUUUAAUCAAAAUCCCUGUUUUUCUCUUUUUUGAAAAGUGACUCAACUUUGACGAUGCAGCAAACUACUUCACAAAAAAGAAUUCUACCUGUCAGACUGUCUUACAGACGAAAGAAUGAGGAAAUACGCAAUACGUAAAAGAAACAAUUAAGUGCACCUGUCUGGUUGGUGACCCUCCUGGAGUUGUGAGGUCAGGGGAAAAACCAGGGAAAAGGAAGACUGACAAUCUGCUAUAUUUUGAUUGUAAAUUAUAAAUAUACACAUGUGUGUUUAGCCCUUUAUCAUAUCAAAUAUUCAAAUCACAACUUCCAGGACACCUUACAAAUGUACUGUUGUUGGCGGCCCAGACAUCAACAACAUCAAGGGCGCUGGCAUCAAGGGUGUUGAAUACAUACAUGAAUGCAUGCAUGAAUGCAUGUAUGACUGAGUGUUCUUGUAUCUACUCUUUUAGUCAUUAAAAAUACCCAAGGACUGAAAAGGAACUUUGACCAGAGCAGAUAUUCAUUUCUAAGUUUGGGACUAACCUUUAAUUUAUUUUAUCAGAUGUUGGGGGAAUGUUUUGCUUGUGCAAGCUUAGUCGCACAUAACACAAUAUCAAUCUUCUUUUAUACUUGCAAAAUUAAAAACUCUUUUCUAUCUGGUUAAUUAUCUCAUUAGAAUUUAGUAAGCUUGGCAGAGGCUGCCCUUUGGGGCUCAUUAAGCCAAAUUUCCACUUCAGGAUUAAAAAAUGCAGCAAGAGGGGGAGAUACAUUUAGAGUUGGGAGCCUGCCUUACAGACAGUCCCUUGGUUGCUAUGACACUGUAAGGAGAGAGCUGCCUUUGGACCAGGGGUGAGCAGGCAUCUGGUGCAAGAAUUCCUGGGUGCUUGGGACUAGCUAUGUAGUACAGAAGAGAGCCACCUCCGAUGGCUAGGAUCUAGGCCUCAGGGCAUUGGAUUUCUGAGGGCUGAAGAGCAGAAUCAGAAAGCUUAAUGCUCUGAGCAGGCUGUCCCCUGGCUUUGCUGGGGAAAGGGGCUCAGUUACAACUCCCUCUGGGUUGAAAUCUGAGUUUUGCUGGAACGCAAACUCUGUGCUGCCGCAUUAGUGCUGGGAAAAGCUUCAGUCUCUAGGGCAUUGGGAUCCAAAUCUUUCUACCAACUUGAAAGUCUCCCAAGAGUUUAUGGAGUUGGAGGAGAAGACGGAGGGGGAGGGGGAGGGGAAGGGGGAGGGGGAGGGGGAGGAGGAGGAGGUAGGAACAAUAACAGCGUACAAGGCCAGGAGGUUAUUCUAUUUCGAUGUGACUCAUGCUACUUUGAAAAUAGAAUUUAUAGCUUGCUGCCUUAGGAAGGGGACCUUAGUCUACUGUGUAUUUUUCAUGGUUACUGUUCUGUGAAGCUCUUCACAAGUAAACAGCAGUGCUUUGCACCUGGAUACAAAAUGCCGCAUGUCUCGAUGACAUGGUAGCGUGCCUCCCUCUCUCAAAAGGCCAGCUCAACCGCAGAGAGGUACAUUUCCUCAUCAUAAAGCCACUGACUUGUCAUCCUUUCUUGGGCCCCAAAGACUGGAUUUAAAAAUGCCUCGGUGACCUGUCAUUUUGAGAUUUUUGACUGUAUGGUGUGCAGCCCUAGGAGGAAUCGUUUCAUCCUUUAAAACUGUUCUGUUUACCCAGGCUCUCACUAAAAGUGCAUCUCCAUGGGAAUUUACGGAGCCUUCCAGCCCCAGCCUGCUGCCCGGCUCUCAGAUUUGGCUUCUCUGCAGGCUCCUUUUACUGGUUUUUGGCAGGUUGCUGAGGGCAUAUGUUUUACACUUCGCCGCUCUGAUUUGUGAGAAUCUGCUGACAUCCAAGAAAGUGCUACAAAAACCUGUUGCUCCCAUCCAAGGGUAUGUGUUUUAUGGCAAACCCAUAGGGCUCAAGUUUCUUGACAACACGUCUUUUUUUUCCCUUCCAAACCACAAAUCGCCCUGUCUUAUUUGUAGUCCAUACUAACAACACAUCUUAUUUAUGGAGAAACAAACACAGGCAGUAUUGUACGGGGCCAUGGUGCCAUCCUCCUGAGGACUUUUGCCCUGUGUGUGUGUGUGUGUGUGUGUGUGUGUGUGUGUGUGUGUGUUUCUGCAUGCCUGCGAAAAGGGGCACAGGUUUUGUUUGUCUCUGUGUUAGGUUUUUGGUGAACAUCUCGUCUUUUAAGUAUGUUGGAGAAAGGGUUCUCACUGCUGCCAGCUGUCAUUUAUUGGCAUACACCACAUGCCAAAAACCAUGCAUUGAUUUUCUUUUUUACUGGAAGAUUGCAAGAGAAAUGUUACUGCCUCCUGCUGAAGAGGAAAAAAAAAAGGUUUAUUGGGCUUAUGCAACAUUUGCAGCAUUUUAUGGACCAAUGAAACCAAGAUACAAACCUUGGUGUGUUUUGCCUCUGAAGUUAAUGAUUUUAUCCCCGUAAAAGGCAGGAGCCUCUUUUUUUCUUUGUAAUUUUCAUAGUAUUUUAUAAUAAAUUAUUAAACUCGCACAAUGUCACAGAGAUCCUGUCAUGAUCAGACAUCAUUUCUUUCCUCUACAGACACCAGAGUCAUCUAUUUUAAAUGAGGAGCGACUUUGCUCCUUCAGGGAAGACUUUCCAAGGUCUGGAACCAUCUUUAUUGUCAUGCCCAGCAAAUGUAGAGCACAUGACACCUACUGGGUAGAGACUGAGGAGGACAGAGCUUCUGCUUAGCAUUCUGUAACACACACAGCAUCUCCAAAAUGCUAGUACUGCUGGGGUUGAGGUGUUUUGGAGGGAAAAAAAAGUAAUAAAAACAGGAAAUAAUCUUGAGAUUGGACUUUACCUUUAGCGAUGAUUUGGUAGAUUAUGUUACCUGUUCUAAAUACUUUCUUUUACUUGGCUUUUCCUGGGGUUUUCUACAUGGUGGAAUUAUACCUUGACUGGCAGUUUACUUUCUUUGAUAAAUAAAGUAUGGGAACAAUA